UACGUAGGUGGCAAGCGUUUGUCCGGAAUUAUUGGGCGUAAAGCGCGCGCAGGCGGUCUCUUAAGUCUGAUGUGAAAGCCCCCGGCUCAACCGGGGAGGGUCAUUGGAAACUGGGAGACUUGAGUGCAGAAGAGAAGAGUGGAAUUCCACGUGUAGCGGUGAAAUGCGUAGAGAUGUGGAGGAACACCAGUGGCGAAGGCGACUCUUUGGUCUGUAACUGACGCUGAGGCGCGAAAGCGUGGGGAGCAAACAGG
rnacentral:rRNA from 1 species